UAAUUUUCUAAUUUACACAAUUCACUUACGUUAAAUGAAUGAAAUAAAGUUGUGUUGCUUCUGCAGUACCGCAUGUUGAUCAGCAGGUGGAGCUAUAUCUGCACAUGCGCAGAUAGAACGCACAUGGUUCAAUCUUCUCUUCUGAUUGACGCCAUUUUGUGCAGUUCGUUUUGUGUUCAUGCGGAGACACAGGAUGUCCCCAUCGAAAAAAGACGUGAAUGCAUCCUAAAAGCCCUUGUUGUUUAUGUGAAUGAAGACCUCUCAAACCUUGUGAAGGAGUACAUGGACGUUGAACAUGAAGCCCAAACCUCAAUGCGCAACACCACCCUAGGAAUCUAUGUCAUCAAACCUGAAAGGGGCACAUGCCACAGACCCUUACCAAGAUGUUGGCAUCAUCGUUGAAGGCAUCAAAAUACUUGAAAACCUGAACAAUGUUGCCAAUGCGUGUUCUAUGAUGCUUGGUCUAAUUUAAACAUUAAACUUUGCCUACCCGCAAGACUUGAGAUACACAUUUGAAACAUUUUAAAAGCUUUUUAUGGAGCUAGAUGCCAACAAGCUGUCAAACAAGGUCCAUGUCCUAAAAAAUAAACUUCUUUUUUAAGUACUAACUUGAGGUAAGGUUCAAGAGGUGGCACUUAUGUUUCCUCGAUGUUACACUGUUGGCUUGUUACAGUACAUUUGUUCCAAGACUGACCUUGUUACACUUUUCAGUAUUGAUCUCAUUUUAAAUAAGUGCUUUAUUUUUUAUCCCAAUUGAAUGGAGGCACAGACUGCAAGAGACACUUUUCACCCACUUCAUUUCAUUUAUAGCAAUGCUUUUUUUGUUGUUGUUUUUUUGUAUGUGCUUUUAAUAAGAAAACGGAAAGCAGUUUUAAAGAUACAGAUUUUGACCAAAUAAUUUGUGAAAGGUAUGUUCUUGAAUGCAUUAAGUGCAUUUACAGUGUAUUUGAUUUACUUAAAAUAGUAGGAAAACAUUGAGACAGUGUUUACUGAAUUUUGCACAUAAUUCUUGUUAAAAAGGUGUAGAAGUAUAUUUCAGUUGCAAUAAUAGGAGAAAACAAUGAGAUAUUGUUCACAUUGUACAGAUGUUGUACAAAAUGCACUGACUGAAUAAAGUAAUUCAAACCAGAAAAAAAUCAUUUUUAUUUUGGUUGAAUGUAAAAAAUAUAUAUAAUUCAGUUGAACUUAAUUGAGUUAAUAGUUUAAAAUAGAAACAAGAUUGUUAAUCUGAUUCAACUAAACAAAAUUACAUUACCUUUAUAUAAAAAACUUAAGUUUACUGAAAUAGAUAAUGUUAC